GGACCCGCACAAGUAGUGGAGCAUGUGGUUUAAUUCGAAGAUACGCGCAGAACCUUACCAACACUUGACAUGUUCGUCGCGACUCUAAGAGAUUAGAGUUUUCGGUUCGGCCGGACGAAACACAGGUGCUGCAUGGCUGUCGUCAGCUCGUGUCGUGAGAUGUUGGGUUAAGUCCCGCAACGAGCGCAACCCUCACUUUUAGUUGCCAUCAUUUAGUUGGGCACUCUGAAAGAACUGCCAGUGAUAAGCUGGAGGAAGGUGGGGAUGACGUCAAGUCCUCAUGGCCCUUACGUGUUGGGCUACACACGUGCUACAAUGGCAUUUACAAUAGGAAGCAAGAUGGCGACAUCAAGCAAAUCCUAAAAAAUGCCUCAGUUCGGAUUGUACUCUGCAACUCGAGUACAUGAAGCUGGAAUU
rnacentral:rRNA from 1 species